rnacentral:tRNA from 1 species
AAAAUCCGUCGACUUUAAAAAUCGUGAGGGUUCAAGUCGCUAAUACA